rnacentral:rRNA from 1 species
GACGAACGCUGGCGGCGUGCCUAAUACAUGCAAGUUGAGCGAUGAAGAUUGGUGCUUGCACCAGUUUGAAGAGCAGCGAACGGGUGAGUAACGCGUGGGGAAUCUGCCUUUGAGCGGGGGACAACAUUUGGAAACGAAUGCUAAUACCGCAUAACAACUUUAAACAUAAGUUUUAAGUUUGAAAGAUGCAAUUGCAUCACUCAAAGAUGAUCCCGCGUUGUAUUAGCUAGUUGGUGAGGUAAAGGCUCACCAAGGCGAUGAUACAUAGCCGACCUGAGAGGGUGAUCGGCCACAUUGGGACUGAGACACGGCCCAAACUCCUACGGGAGGCAGCAGUAGGGAAUCUUCGGCAAUGGACGAAAGUCUGACCGAGCAACGCCGCGUGAGUGAAGAAGGUUUUCGGAUCGUAAAACUCUGUUGGUAGAGAAGAACGUUGGUGAGAGUGGAAAGCUCAUCAAGUGACGGUAACUACCCAGAAAGGGACGGCUAACUACGUG